rnacentral:tRNA from 1 species
CGCGGGGUGGAGCAGCCCGGUAGCUCGUCAGGCUCAUAACCUGAAGGCCGCACGUUCAAAUCGUGCCCCCGCAA